GGGUUUGAGUUUUGUGAUAUUAGC
rnacentral:siRNA from 1 species